rnacentral:piRNA from 1 species
UGACUACGUGUCCAAGGUUCCCUGU